rnacentral:rRNA from 1 species
AUACGUAGGGGGCAAGCGUUGUCCGGAAUGAUUGGGCGUAAAGGGCGCGUAGGCGGCCCGGUAAGUCUGAAGUGAAAGUCCUGUUUUUAAGAUGGGAAUUGCUUUGGAUACUGUCGGGCUUGAGUGCAGGAGAGGGAAGUGGAAUUCCCAGUGUAGCGGUGAAAUGCGUAGAGAUUGGGAGGAACACCAGUGGCGAAGGCGACUUACUGGACUGUAACUGACGCUGAGGCGCGAAAGUGUGGGGAGCAAACAGGAUUAGAUACCCUGGUAGUCCACACUGUAAACGAUGAAUGCUAGGUGUAGGGGGUAUCGACCCCUUCUGUGCCGCAGUAAACACAAUAAGCAUUCCGCCUGGGGAGUACGGCCGCAAGGUUGAAACUCAAAUGAAUUGACGGGG